rnacentral:rRNA from 1 species
AUGCGUGAUCUCAAACACGCGGCUGGAGCUUGGGUCGACGAACUUCCCUCAGUGCUUUGGGGGCUGCGGACCACACCUAAUCGGUCGACCGGAAGAACUCCAUUCUUCUUGGUCGACGGAGCUGAAGCAGUCUUGCCGAGUGAUCUUCUCCACAAUGCUCCCCGAGUUGAAAUCUACAACGAAGCAGAGGCUGAACAAGCGCCGCAGGACGCAGUCGACCUCUUAGAGGAAGAAAGGGAGAUGGCUCUGAUCCGGUCGACCAUCUACCAACAAGAUUUGCGUCGUUUCCACGCCAGAAAUGUGAGAGGUCGAGCCUUCCAGGAAGGAGAUUUGGUUCUCCGAGUGGAUCAGCACAAACCACACAAGCUUGCUCCUUGGGAAGGCCCCUUCAUCGUCACCAAGGUUCUCCACAACGGGGCGUCGUCUUUACAACGUCAAGCAUAA